rnacentral:rRNA from 1 species
AUUGAACGCUGGCGGCAGGCCUAACACAUGCAAGUCGAGCGGAGCGGCGGACGGGUGAGUAAUGCCUAGGAAGCUGCCUGGUAGUGGGGGAUAACGUCCGGAAACGGGAGCUAAUACCGCAUAAUAUCAGAUGAGCCUAGGUCGGAUUAGCUAGUUGGUGGGGUAAAGGCCUACCAAGGCGACGAUCCGUAACUGGUCUGGGAGGAUGAUCAGUCACACUGGAACUGAGACACGGUCCAGACUCCUACGGGAGGCAGCAGUGGGGAAUAUUGGGCAAUGGGCUAAAGCCUGAUCCAGCCAUGCCGCGUGUGUGAAGAAGGUUUUCGGAUUGUAAAGCUCUUUAGGUUGGGAGGCGUUACCAACAGAAUAAGCACCGGCUAACUUCGUGCCAGCCGCCGCGGUAAUUC